rnacentral:misc_RNA from 1 species
AGCAGCCGCGGUAAUUCCAGCUCCAAUAGCGUAUAUUAAAGUUGUUGCAGUUAAAAAGCUCGUAGUUGAAUUUCGGGAUUAGUAAGUUGGUCGUGCCUCCGGUAUGUACUGGCUCCACUGGUUCCUCCUUCUUGAAGAACUGUAAUGUCAUUAAUUUGGUGUUGCAGGGAAACAGGACUGUUACUUUGAAAAAAUUAGAGUGUUUAAAGCAGGCUAACGCUUGAAUACAUUAGCAUGGAAUAAUGAAAUAGGACGUUUGACCCUAUUUUGUUGGUUUCUAGGAUUGACGUAAUGAUUAAUAGGGAUAGUUGGGGGCAUUAGUAUUCAAUUGUCAGAGGUGAAAUUCUUGGAUUUAUUGAAGACUAACUACUGCGAAAGCAUUUGCCAAGGAUGUUUUCAUUAAUCAAGAACGAAAGUUAGGGGAUCGGAGACGAUCAGAUACCGUCGUAGUCUUAACCAUAAACUAUGCCGACUAGGGAUCGGAUGAUGUUAAUUUUUAAUGACUCAUUCGGCGCCUUAC